ACCAGGACCUGGGCCAAGGAGGAUCCUGCAACCGAGAUUUGUUUGCAUCAUUUCUCUAGCAGCUCCAAUCAAGAGGACGUAUGUGAUUCGAGUAAGAGGUGAGGCACUGUGAAAUGCCUUUCCUCUGGUUCUGUCAGAAUCCAAAUGUUGGAACUGUUAGGGCUUUGCUUUGCAAGCUCAGCCAUCCUGAGUAUUGCUGGGGAAUGAGGUAACCUGGAGAGUAAAGUUCAACCUAAAAAUUAACAUUGGACCAAAGUGUUCAGUGUCUUGUAGGAGAAACAAGAGGAAUGACUGGUAAUCAGAAGAGCUUCACACUUGGGAAGAGAAAGAGGAAGCCCUAGGAAGAACACAAGACUGAUCUUUAGGGGACAACUCACCAAAAAGAAAAGGAAUAAAAAAAAUACUC